AGUCCAUGGUGUGGGCAUCUUUUUGACAAUUCCUUAAACCUCUCCCAUGCUUCAUAAAAAGGGUUUACUAUCCAUAUGAGUAAAUGUAGUAAUAUCAUUAUGCAUUU